rnacentral:lncRNA from 1 species
GCCCCAGACAAAGGCAGUUUGGGGGAGAACGGCCGCCCAAGCAGUAGCCAGAGGCCCUGCUGCCUCAGGAGGGCUCUGCCCACUCAUGCCAGUGCUCCCAGGAGCAGGAAGAGCUGAGGAACACACACUGGAGCCAGGCUGUUCUAAGAGCUCUCAGUGCCUUGUCUUACAUUUUCAUUAAGCUUCGGAGCUGGGGUUGUGGCAAAAAUCUUCUUCAUCAACCAAUCUCUGAUUUCAUCCUGAAGAGAAGAAAGCGAGCAUAUGCCUCAUUCAGCCAAUGCUUCCCUACGAGAAAGCCACAGUUUGAGAAAGUUGACACAACUGGAGCCAUAUUGCUAACCAAUGGAGAAGC